CAGCAGCCGCGGUAAUACGUAGGGUGCAAGCGUUAAUCGGAAUUACUGGGCGUAAAGCGUGCGCAGGCGGUUAUGUAAGACAGUUGUGAAAUCCCCGGGCUCAACCUGGGAACUGCAUCUGUGACUGCAUAGCUAGAGUACGGUAGAGGGGGAUGGAAUUCCGCGUGUAGCAGUGAAGUGCGUAGAUAUGCGGAGGAACACCGAUGGCGUAGGCAAUCCCCUGGACCUGUACUGACGCUCAUGCACGAAAGCGUGGGGAGCAAACAGGAUUAGAUACCCCCGUAGUCCUGUCUCUUAUACA
rnacentral:rRNA from 1 species